GGAACGCUUGCUUUGCGAAAUCCUGAAACACCCUCAAUGAAAAUAAAGAUCGAGUCAACCAUAUCUAAUUGUGAUGGAGCGCUUGCUCGAUUCCUCCUCUAAUUUACAUUCGUUCUCUUCAUCAAUUUCUGGUCCUCCACGGCUCCACCAUAUCCUUGUUUCGUAACCUUGCUAUUGGUACAACCGUACAAGUCCAAGUUGAUGAAUUCAAUUAAUUAAGGCAUAUCAUAUAUACAGGUUGGUGAUCUCAAGUAUUGAUUAUGGUUCAGGAAUACACUAUGCGUCUUGUUUCUCUCAGUGCUUAGAGUUUUGUGUUAUUUUUCCCAUAUUGUGUUGAUUUAUUCAGUUACCAAAAUUGUUAACCCGUUCUAAAAGGAUUUUGAUAUGAAGCUUGAAUUGCAUAUAAGAUGUAAUAUAUACACUCUCGAGAUCAUAUGGUAACUGGUAAAUGGUUAUGUGCACGUGAAUUGCUCAAGAUCGAGAAUCCUGGCGAGAGUUUUCUUGUUAUGAUUUAUAUGAAGUACAUGAAACAAAGAAGCUAGAGGGUCUCGUCUCCAAUCAUGAUUUUCACAUGAGAGAUUCCUCGAGGGAAAUCUGGAUUUUUUUAAUUCACGGACAUCCUCGUCCAAGAGGUUAAUCAUCUUUGCUGGAAAGAAUCAGAGAGGAGUGAAAAACAAUUUUAAAAGAAGAUCUGGGAUAAAUCUGGGAUUUUGAUGUUGUAGAGGUUGUUCCUUUCUCUCUUUAAUUACCUAUUUUGAUUAAUUUAGGAUUUUGAUGUUUUGUGAGAUGUGGGAAUUAGGAAGAGAGAGACCAGAAGGAAAGAGGGAGAAGAAGAGAGAGUUUUGCUUUGGUCGAUCUAGGUAGGAAGAAGAGAGAGACAAAGACAUAGAAACAAUAAAAAAAGAAAAGACAGAUGACCACAAGUCUGUCAAAUUUGACAGUUUGGUUUCAAUAUGUCAUCCACCGUACGUGGCAAUGACAUAUGGGUUGGAGUGUAUUUUCAUAGGUCAUUUAUAGAUGUUGGGCUGCCAUGUGGAUUUUGACAUAUCCACUGGAGAUGGUCUUACACAUUCAAAAAUGGGUAAAGGUUUUCAGAUUUGAGGUUGUUUGUUGAAGCAAAGAAGUCACCCCAAGUUUCACGUAAAGGAUGGUGGUUGGUCAUCUUAUUUUUGAAUGAGAGGAUCAUCCGCAUAGUGAUAAGGGGAAUGAUUCAAAUCUGAAUUAAACCAAUCCUUACAACGAUCUGAUCAUUAAGCCUACAAAAGGAGGCUUGCAACGAAAAGGCAGAGGAGGAGACGAACAAAGCAAAGAAAUACAGAGAGCGAAGACGCACAGAGCAGAGAAAUACAAAAGAAAUACAGAGAGCGAAGAGGGUAUGCGGCAAAGAAACAACGAGAAGAAAGUUCCAGGUCUCGUUACCGAAGAAAGAAGAAGAAGAACUGCAGGUAUACGACUGCAUCCAUGGUUAUUUUGUUUAUGUGAAAUUCCCAGAUGAUGCUCACGAUAAGGAAAAGAAACUUGCCUCCUGCAAUGCAAGUUCCUUCAAUUAAUCCAGAAGAGAAUGGUUACCUUGCUGUA